rnacentral:rRNA from 1 species
UACGUAGGGGGCAAGCGUUGUCCGGAAUCAUUGGGCGUAAAGCGCGUGUAGGCGGUCCGGUAAGUCCGCUGUGAAAGUCGGGGGCUCAACCCUCGGAUGCCGGUGGAUACUGUCGGGCUUGAGUACGGAAGAGGCGAGUGGAAUUCCUGGUGUAGCGGUGAAAUGCGCAGAUAUCAAGGAGGAACACCAAUUGCGAAGGCAGCUCGCUGGGACGUACUGACGCUGAGACGCGAAAGCGUGGGGAGCAAACAGG